rnacentral:rRNA from 1 species
ACGCACGCUGGCGGCGUGCUUAACCCAUGCCAGUCGAACGGAAAGCCCUGCUUGCAGGGUACUCGAGUGGCGAACGGGUGAGUAACACGUGGGUGAUCUGCCCUGCACUUCGGGAUAAGCCUGGGAAACUGGGUCUAAUACCGGAUAGGAGCCAUUUUUAGUGUGAUGGUUGGAAAGUUUUUUCGGUGUAGGAUGAGCUCGCGGCCUAUCAGCUUGUUGGUGGGGUAAUGGCCUACCAAGGCGGCGACGGGUAGCCGGCCUGAGAGGGUGGACGGCCACAUUGGGACUGAGAUACGGCCCAGACUCCUACGGGAGGCAGAAGUGGGGAAUAUUGCACAAUGGGCGCAAGCCUGAUGCAGCGACGCCGCGUGGGGGAUGACGGCCUUCGGGUUGUAAACUCCUUUCGCUAGGGACGAAGCUUUUUGUGACGGUACCUAGAGAAGAAGCACCGGCUAACUACGUG